rnacentral:rRNA from 1 species
ACCAGACUCCUACGGGAGGCAGCAGUGGGGGAUAUUGCACAAUGGGGGGAACCCUGAUGCAGCGACGCCGCGUGGGUGAAGAAGCGCCUCGGCGCGUAAAGCCCUGUCAGCAGGGAAGAAAAUGACGGUACCUGAAGAAGAAGCCCCGGCUAACUACGUGCCAGCAGCCGCGGUAAUACGUAGGGGGCAAGCGUUAUCCGGAUUUACUGGGUGUAAAGGGGGCGCAGACGGCGAUGCAAGCCAGGAGUGAAAGCCCGGGGCCCAACCCCGGGACUGCUCUUGGAACUGCGUGGCUGGAGUGCAGGAGGGGCAGGCGGAAUUCCUGGUGUAGCGGUGAAAUGCGUAGAUAUCAGGAGGAACACCGGUGGCGAAGGCGGCCUGCUGGACUGCAACUGACGUUGAGGCCCGAAAGCGUGGGGAGCAAACAGGAUUAGAUACCCCAGUAGUU